GGGACUGUCUCUAAAAACCAGGGGCUCAGUUGGAAACCCUUUGCCUGGUGUUGCAUAAGACCCCAGUAGCAUCUUCAGCAUGUGAAAAAAGUGAAGCUGUGGUAUAUGAAAUAGAGAAAAGCUAUGUAGAGCAAGAGAUUGACACUAGUAUGGUUUGUGUGGAAACUCAGAGGACAGAGAGAACAUCAAGGAAAUGGGUUGGGGAGAUGGAUGAGAGCUCUCUUCCAGGGAGCAGACAACAGUUGGUCACUUGGUGACACAGCUAAAACUGCAUUUCCCAGCCUGCUCUGUGGAUGAGUGUGUCUACCAUGUGACCUCAGUUUGGAUAACAGGCUAUGAAAUAGGUAGGACUCUGGGGCUGGCCCUUAGAGGAAAGGAGUGCUCCCCUCCCCACCUCUUUCCUCCCUCCUAUGUUGCAUAUACAAAAAUAGACCAGCUAAAGAACUCAUCCGGGGCUCUAGAGAGGAAUUUGUUUUGGGCUUUGCAGAGGCUUCCACAAGUCUGUGCAUAGCUACGUGAAAAAGAAAUGAACUUCCAACAGUUGGAUACUGCCCCUUGGGCGGUCCAUGAUGCUGACAACUAACAUGCCCAGAGAGGGAGAGGAAGGUGUUGGUGAAAAACAGGAAGGCCCUAGAGGAGGCCACAGUCUAAUUGGGUAAUACAAUUGUGAACUUCUAACAAGGAGAAAGUGGGAAGGGCACUGGAGUUGAACAUAGCAUGUAUACCAGCCCCCUUCUAGGAAGAGGUCUGCUGUGUGCUAGAGAAGGCUGGCAUGUGCCAAGGCUCCACAGGCCUGGUCUUGUCUCUGCGUUAUAUUCAAAGGAACACUCGGUGCAGCCACCAAAAGUCAGGCACAAGCAAUUUCAGUCUCUGCUUUCUUCCUUCAGGAACAUUUAAAAGGGGCCAAGAGUUGGCCCUGCAGAGCAAUGGUGGAAUAAAUUCCCUUUCCUCUCUGGUUUUCACCUUCUGCAGCAGCCCCAGGGCCCACCACUCCCUCCCAAAUGCGCAGCUUGCUCUCUCUCCCUCAGCCUCCUUCUCUUUAUCAGGUGUCUGCCCUGGGGUGAGCAUGCAGCUCUCCCAACUCUGCAGGAAUCCAAGUGUGCAGGCAGCUUCUGAUACUCUGGUUUGAGUGUGGUGACACUUGAUCCCAUUAUGAGCUAUUAAGACAGAGAAAACUUAAUCUCACUGUGGUACAUAGAGGCAGACUCCUGCCUGGGGAUUACAAUUAAGUAUCACCUUCAGGGUGGGGCCUGGGGAUUGAGUCCUGGUGGUUUUAUAGAGUAGGGAGAGAGACAGAAAACACACUCUUCUUAGAUGAUAUCCAGCCCUCAUUUUAGGACUCUGCCAAGAAGGCAAUGGCCAGCUAGGUGCAUCCAGAGCUGUGAAAGAGUGAUGCCUCUUUUCUUUAUAAAGCUACCCAGCCCCAGAUUUUUCAAUGCAGUUGUGAGUAUAUAGAUAGAUACGGAUAGUAAGGGGAUCUGGGAAAAUCAAUGAAGUUGUUUUUUGCAGGAGGGAUUCUCUACCUUUCUUCAGUAGUUUUACAGGUCUCUACAUAGUUUUCUGGAGAAGUCUCCCUUCUUUAAGGGAUGGGUGCUCCGAGGGAAGCCAACAUCUGCAGAAGCCUUUUAAGCUCUCAUUGUGUUAGCACAGGGUGCUCUGUGGGACAGGAGCCAGUCUCCUGGGAUCUGGGGACAGAGCUUGGCGUUGCAACUGGGCUGUGGUACAGGGCACAGUCACAUCACCCAUUUCCCCAGAGGCUGCGUUCACAUCAAUCUACCCUUGACCUAAGUCCCAGUGAUUAGCCAAAAGACCACCAGCUGCAUCAGUGAUGCUAGAUCAGAGUCAACACCAUUCUUCAGGCGUGUGUCAUCUGUUCUGUGCAUUUAUCACAGUGCGGUUCACAAGAGUCAAGACAGAGAGUCAUCCUAAGUUCUGCUGAUGGACAUAGGGAUAAAGAAACUGUGACUCAUACACAGGAAUAUUACUCAGUCUUGAAGAGGAGGAAAUUCCCUGAGUUGUGACAGCAUGGACAAACCUGGAGGACAUUGUGCUCAGAACGUCACAUCAGGACCUCAGAGAUGGAUUUGAGAUCACUAAAUCCUACUUAUUACUCAUUAUAAUGUGCCCACAGUGGGUGACUCUGUGUUCUUCACUAUUAAUUGCCUGUUUAAAUUGUCCUACUGAGUUCAGGUGCAGACUGCAGCUUGUUUGGGCUGCAAAGGCUCUGCUCCAACCCUAUGACAACUCAAACAACCCCUCCAACACACUGAAGAACAGAGAGACCAGAGCCAAGAAGGUGUGGUUUGCUCUGGAUGGUAGAAUUACAGGUGUGUCCAUUUACUCUCCUUUCCGCUGUGUUUAAUUGCUGUGGAGGAUUUUUCCUCUGAAUGAUGGUGCCACCCUGUGACAACAUUCUAAAAAAAGAAAAAAAACAAAAAACAAAAAACAAACAUCUGUUGACCUUGUUGAAAGAGGAAAAACACAGAGGACCAGUAGAUGGAUGGACCUACACAGUGUUCAACAUGCUGUACUCAAGUGGCCAGAGGAGAUUGGGAGAGGGUACUCUAGACCUGUGAAGAAAGGAUUUGGGGAACAUGUGCCCCAAAUUUGCUCAGGGCCUAGAGUGAGCACUUGUUGCUGUCUUAUGAUUUCUGUAUCUAAAAUCAGUUCUUUUUUUUUUCUCAUGGGAAUUUUUUAAGUAAACAUUACAUUAAGAUCCCUGCAAAGAUUUCAAGCCACCAUCUGUGUGGCUGUUUAUUUUCUCUCGGCUGAAGUGAUAAUUGCCUGUCUGUGGCAUUGAGCCUACUGCCACGGUGAUUAUCAUAUCAUCAACAGAACAUUAAACCCUCAGAUGUAGAACUCUCAGCUACUUCUCCAGCACCGUGUCUGCCUGAUCACUGGCAUCCUCCGUUCUGUGAAGAUAAUGAACUGAAGUUGUAAAUAAGCCCCAAUUAAAUGCUUUCCUUUAUAAGAGUUGCCAUGGUCAUGGUUUCUCUUCACAACAAUAAAACAGUGACUAAGACAUGCUGUAUUGGUUACUUUUUUUCAUCAGUGUGACAAAAUACUCAGCAAAAGCAGUGUAAUGAAAGAAGGGUUUGUUUUACCUUACAGUUUGGGGGUAUAGUCCAUCAUGGCAGUGAAGAUAUGACCAACAAGCUUGAGGCAGCUGGUUGUAUUUCCUCUGCAGAUGGUUGUAUUUCCUCUGCAGAUGGAAAGCAGAG
ensembl:lncRNA